UACUUAAGCAUUAGUAAAUGGCACUAUUGUAGCACAGACUUAGAUCACCUGAACCCAACAAUGAAGUGCACAGCUGAGGAAAAACAAUGCAUGAGGCUCUGCUAAAGAUCAAUUGAUUUAGAAGUCACAGGAAUUAGUGGCAGAUUAAACACUUAUGCUGUAUUAGCAAAUAUUAUUUGGAUCUACAGCUGAAGCUCAGGUAACUAAUUAAUUAUGCUUGCAAAGCAAUAAAAUCUAGCUCCUUGUCCCUCCAAUUACAUGUACUAUAUAAAACUAGUUAUGAAAGUAGAAGUACAUAAAACUACUUGAAAAGGAGGGUGAACUGCCUGCUGUCACUACACAACGAGCUUUCCUGACCAACAUUUUACAAAACCUGCAAGUUACUGUACCUGAUCACAGAGCAUCAUCCAAAAAUCUGAAACACAUAAAAGCAUCAUUCUUCCUUUCCUAUGCUGUUCAGCACCUGAAAUCCAUGUAACCCAUGCUUUCAGGUAACAGUUAUCCCAAAGUUUAGUCUUGAAACAGAAGCAAGAGAGAUCACCUCAGAGAAGUCCAUGUUAUGUCCUCAAGUGAGACUGCAGCUUCAAAGCAAAGCAAGCAAUGAAAGUGCAUACCUCAGUAGCACCCAGUCAUCAGGAUCAGGCUCCUCUGGAGCACUGUAUACCAGCGUGCCAUGCUUGGACAGGAAUGAAUUGUUCAGGAAGAAAAUGCUAUUUGAAAAACUUCAGUGCUUACCACUCUACAACUAGAUGAAGACUUAAUAGACUGAUCUUCUUCCACCUGGUCUCUAUAUGAACUGCUAAGGAGGCUCUUUUGCUUGCAUUUCCCUCAAACCCAGGUCUUGCUUCCCAGUGCCAUGGACAGCAACACCAACUGCACCUAUCGUAUCUCCACAGCAUCUGCACUAUCGUAUCUGCUCAGCUCAAAAACCAAAAGUGAAGAGUCAAGCAAAAGAUACUGGAACCAGCUUCACUGAGAUGUCUACAAGGCAGUAGCAAUGGCAACAGCUGGCAACCAGAUUUGCUCAUUGGGAUUGUCAGGAGUUCCAUCCUCCUUUCGAGCAUCCAGAAAUACUCUCUUGCAGGCCUGCAUCCCACUCUCUCUCUCUGCUGAUGUUGGUAACUCACCAGGAUCACUCAAGAGAGAACAACAGCCCAGCGAUCUGUGAAAGGCAUAAUCUAACUGACUGCAAAAUGGAAGUGCUAAAGACAAGAGCAGCCUAAAAUAGCAGUCUGAGGAUGGGCAGCAGGCAUCUGCCUGCCAAAAGCAAAGCACCUCGCAGGGUAAAGUUCCCCGGCUACUGGGCCAGGAGAGUGAUGGCCACUCCAAGCUUUCCUAACACCUCCCUUGGCUCCCUUCUACUUCUCACUAGUUGCAUAUUUUUGUCUUCGCAAAUAAAGCUUCAGCUCUU